CUUAAGCAUCUCUUUUUUUGGUCCAGGUAAAGAUAAAGUGUGAUCGUAGAAUCAUGGCAAGGAAGAGAGGAUGAUCUAGGAACUCGUUUGAUUUAUUUUUGUGUUUUGGUUAUUGGAACUGGUAAGGGUUGUGUUAGGAUUGUUAGUCAUUUUUGGUUUUGUUGGUUAAAUUAUUUAUUUAUUCAUAAAAUAGUAUUUUUGACGUGCGGUUUAAAUGUUGCUUUAUUGGUUGGUUUAAUUAAGUAUUUAUGGGAAUAUUUGAUUAUGUUUAAUUAAGUAUUUAUGGGAAUAUUUCAACAAGUUUCUUGUCUACUGCCUCGACAGUCCAAGAGAUUCCUCAGAUGCGUUACA
rnacentral:sRNA from 1 species